UAACUGAAAAGCAUCACAAAGAUCCGGAGUCACAGGCUGCUACCGCAUCGAAUGAGUCCUUGAACCACCCAGAAAAUAUCCAUAUCGUAAGUGUUUUUUUUUUCCUGGAUGCACUUGUCUAAAGUUUCCUUCUCCUGAAGAUUGUCUUGGCUUCUUUCUUUUUAUGUUUUGUGCUUUUCAACAAUAAAGUUGUCUUGGAGCCUUGGAGGUGAAGCAAAAAUACUAAAAGACAAUAUACAACAAAAUAUGCUUGUUCUCCUUUCCGUGUAUGAUUUGAAAUGCAUAAUUGUAUAUUAGCAGUAUCGAGGUCCCUUUGUUUAAAAUUCUUAAGCAAUCCAGUGCCAGUUACCUGAUGCCUUGAGCAUUCACUCUUAAAAAAAGUCCUGUUUACUUCAUAUCUAGCAAUAAAUCGUUUGAGAAAAAUGUGACUAACAAACUGCGUGAGCAAGUGGAUGCAUGCUAACUCAGUUUGACGGUGACUCCUAUGACAUGUUUUAUGACAUGCCUCAGAUGAAUGUAGUAUGGCAUGAACUGUUUGACUAUGACGGUACAUAGCUGCCAUUCACAAAGUAUUAGCUUUCUAUGGCUUUAUUAUGUGUUGUCCUUUGCAUCUGCACCAUCAACAAACUGCAUUCUCGAGGUCCAUUAGAAAAACGAUGGAGAUUUCAUUAGCGUUCUACAGCCUGGGUUCCAGAUCGUGUAGAUAACAUGAUCUUCGAAUGUCUGCACUCUUGGGUGCUCAUAAGUUCCUCCACGUCCUGUUCUGAGGUGUAUGAUGCGCACUUACAAUUUUUUGGAGCAAUGUUGCAUAAUCUUGACAUGCUGAGCUUGAGUCGCUCACGACGAUGCAUUGCAGGACCUAUUGUGCCAAGAUAGGACGAGGUGGAGGUGACAAUGGAGAUGUUGGCGUCAGGAGGUGGCAGAUAGGAGGAGGCUAUCGCCAGCAACGCCAACGUGGCACCGAAGAAAGCCUCCCUCGCCAAAUUGGGUAACGGAAGCAGGCCAAACGCGCAGGGGCAAAAGUAGAGAGCAAGAGGAAAUACUGAUGGAGUUGCACCGAUUUGUGCGUACUUUGGAUUUUGGAAUAUGCUUGUGGAGCUUGAAUGUUUAAGACAAGGUGUAAGCCAUAUGUCAUCACAGAUAUUUUAUAUGAUGAAAAUUAAUCUUCAUAGA